AUUGCUGCUCCAGAAUUCUCUGCUCAGGCAGGGCAGCCCUCCCCACAGCCUGAUUAGAACACCUCCCCUUUUACCAUCACUGAGGACAAAGAGUAAGGAGCUGGUGUAUGAUCACCAACACGUGGUCUGCAAAGUUAGACAUUGCCUUUCCCUUAAGGAAACAUAGACACAGCAACAGCACCAAGCCCUGGGGGCGGGAGACCCCUUUCCAGAGUUCAGCUGGUCAACUGGAGUCUGAAGCCCAGGAGGAAAUAGCCCCAGGAGAUAUUAUAUACCACCUGGAGCCCCUUUCCAAGGUUCCACUCCAGACACAGCCCACAGGCUACUUCAGCCAGUCCUACAAGCCUCAGUGGUCUCCCUUCAGUGCAACCUAUGGAGAUUGUUACAAGCCCUGGAGAAUAGAGCCUGUGACUUACCAUGGGAAGAAGUCCUCCCAUUCAGGUGACUACCACAUGAUCACUACUCAUCAGAUUUCCUUCCAGAACCCUCUUCUUGGCCAAUCAAUGCUCCCAGUUCACAUUCAGGGCAGAAAAAUAGCACCAGUAGUGCGUCCAGGCUACAUGGAGUAUAUCAGCCAAUACCAGAGGAACUUCCAGGCCUCAGGGUGGAAUCAAGUCCUCAGAACUGACCCAAACAAAAACAAUCAGGGGAUUAACAAAUAUAUCCAGGCUGUGCAGAAAGACACUGGCUGGCAGCCCACUAUGCAUCAGCAUCAGAAGCCGAGAUGGCUGAGGCAGGAGAUGACCAUCCUGGGUAGGAAAAGCACUGCCAAGUUUGAUGGAGACACAGUGACCAGGGUAAAGUGCCCAAGCUCUCUGUCAAGAGCCACUUACGGACUCUGAUAUCUGUCCCUGACCACAGAAGUGAGAUAUGCAUUCCUCUCUUCCCAGAUGCCUUACCUACCUCCUCCUAAAGCCCAGGUAAAACGGGUCAAGGGUAAGUGCCCCUCUAGCACACUCAGAGUCUUCAAAGCCAAGUUACAAACUGAAAUUGCCAGCAAGCGCUUCUUCCAGGACGGCCGAACUCAGCCCAGGGUAGGCUGUGGAGACCCUUAUCACAGAAGCCAUGAGAAGCUGCCGGGUGUUCACAGGCACCGACUGAGAAUCAAACUACCCCCAGGAUCUCCUACAUGCCCUUGUUUUCUGAAAGGUUGAACCUGUGUAAGCCCAAGGUCAACAGCAUCAAAUGGGAGCCAAACACAAUUUCUCUACAGAGCAAAGGAAAACAUUCAGGCCAGUCCAGCUACCUGAAAGCCAGCUCUAGAAGAAUUUAUGGCAACAACAAGAUUCAAAAUUCCCAAAUAUAGUAAUCAUUGGAGGAAAGAAAUUGCCCAAAUAACCUAUGCAAAAAUGCACAGUUCAGGACACACAUCUCUGAACCAACUCAAACUUAAAACUAAGGUCCCACAAUAACUACUUCACAGUGUAGAUUCAGCUUUCCCACUGGGAUUUCCCAGUCACGUGCAAACCCUAAUCCAGCUCUUUGAAACUAAAUGAGCAAGGGUGAGUAAGCUACUUAGAAAGGAACGAUGAUGCACUGUGUGUCCUAGAAGGUCGGUGGUGUUACAAGACACCUGAGGGAAAAAAGAAGUCCAAGUGUUUCCCUCCUAAUUAAUGAAUGAAUGGCAAAGCAUCAAGACUUUUCUCAAGUCAGUACCAUCAAUUAAUUACAUUCUAUUUGAGCUA